GACAAAAAAAUAGAAGUGAGUCCUUCAGUGUUUUCUGUUGCAUCACUCUGUCUUCCUGUUUUGAUGAAAACUUCUAAAAUGUCAUUUUCAUAGCAGUCUUCACUGGUCAAUAUUAUUGGCGGCAGCAGACAGAAGAGAGAAAUUGCCUCAGAGCAAUGCUCAUGCACACUACCCUGUCAUGGAAAGUUUAAACCAGUCAGUCCAAUAUGGUGCUAAGGGCCUGAUGAUAAAAUUCUCUUGCUG
rnacentral:lncRNA from 12 species